rnacentral:lncRNA from 1 species
UGGGGACGAAUAGAAACACACACGUGUGGUUUGAGUUUUCUUUUCUAUUUUUUAUUUAUUUAUUUCAGCAUGUGUGUUGGGUGUGCGUGGUAUUUUCUGUUUUACUUUUCUGCUUUAUUUUUUCUUUAUUUUUAGUUUGUGUGUUUCACCAUGCCAUGCUUGCUUAAUAAAUUAUGCAUCACCUCAAUAUAAUGAUAUGUGAUUAAUUGUGAUUGUUUACGCUCUUGUCAGGUUGAAAGAUGACGAUCGGUGCUGCUUUGUUUAAUUUUUAUGCUUGGUUAUUGGAACAUUGAACUAAUGCUCUCCUUAACACAAACUGAAAUUGACAUAAAUAUUGGUUUAUCAUUUUUUGAAGCUGAUGAUAAUUUGGACCCAUAUAUUUUUUUAUUGCUCUCUCUUUUAAAUGGAUUAAAGGCUCUUUUAU